UGAACCUCUGGUACCUACAAGGAGGGUGUCUCACCGAACGGUAGCUAAGACCUCACCACAACCGCGCGGGAGCGAGGAGUCGCGGCCAAAGGCGCCAGCCCGAGCCUCCGCUCUGGGCCGGACCCCAGCCCGAGCGGCCGAAAGGAGCCCCCCGCCCGGAUCGCAGUGAAAAAUGAUAACAUCAUUUUUAUGUGACUCAUAUGCAAAAUGAAAUACGUUCAUCUAUGAGGUCGGCUGAUGGGAAAUAAAAUCAGAUAUUUUACUUCUGACUCCAUCAAGCAAAAGAAAAAUCAGUUGUGAUUCCAAGAAGAGAUGAACUCUUGCACAGCCCUGAGUUCCUAGUUCCCCAAGCAGAAACUGGACUGGACCAAGGACUGAACUCAUGCCCUCUGCAGUGAAAGUGCAUAGUCCUAACCCCUGGAUCGUCAGGGAAUUCUCUUUGUUUUAACUAUAAGGAGAGAAAAGGAGAUAUCAGAGUUGAGAAGAGAAAUCCUAGCAAAUAGCUGCAUUCUCAGUUGAAUAUUGGAUCCAUGAUGGUUAGGAUCUGGUAUGUUCCUUUCAUCACUUGAAUCCAUUUCCUACAACUGUGUAAGGCCAUGGAUCAAUUUCUUUACCUUUAAAAUGAUGGAGUAGACUGGAUGGCUAAUGUUUCUUGCAGCACUAAUGGUCACUGAUGGCAUGCAUGUUUCAAGGGUUUGUAUGAAAACCAAGUAAUAUUUUUACAGGAAACUUUGCUUAUGUAACAGAUUGCAUUUGACAGAUCUUUUUUUUAAUUCUGUAACUUUAAUCCAAGAUGAAAUUAUUUAUGUGUUAGUUAUCUGUGCUUUCAUUAAUGUUUGCCUUUUAUUCCUGAUUAAACAAGGUUAUUUUGGUCUGAAAAAUCCAUUUUUUUGUCAUUUAGAUACCCAAAUAGGAUUAAAAAAAAAAAAAAAAGAUUCUUACAGCUUACAGUGAGGAUUCUCUUAAAAACUUUUUAAAGUUAAUGUUUUAAAUGGUGAAUUUCUAGAAAAUUCUAGAAAUACAGAUAGAUCUAUUUGAGGAGGAAAGAGAGAGCUGAGAGAUAUCUAGUUGUUUCCAGAUUUUAUAAUACUAUGAGCAUCUUGAAUAAGUGGACAUUAAGAAAUCUUCGUCUGUUUUUUCAUUUUGUAUGGUAAAUAUAAAUUUAGUAUUAUACUAAAGUCUUUUGAGUGGGUUUGCUAGCUGAUCAUAACUUCACCACAUUGUCAGGAGAUUGAAUCCAUAAUUGUGGAAAGAUAUUGCUUGUAAAGAACAUUUAGUUUCCUUUUGCUUUUCAUGAGGAUGCUUUUUAAUUGUCUAUGUGUUUCAUUUUCAUCAGUACCUAAGUGUGUUAAAUAAUUUAAUAAGAAUAAUAUGUAAAAUUCCAAAUACAUUUCAUUUCAAAUAUAAACUUACAUGUAGUAAUACCAAGGUACUUAAUUUCACAUUUAUUAAACUGAAAUUACUUUAAAAAAUUUGAUUUUGCUAUUGUUAUGUGAAAAUGUGAAAGGAAUGUGAAAAAUGAAUAAGUGCUAGGGGAUAAAUAAUCCUACAGUAUUCAUGUUCAAAGAAUACUAUUAUAUUCCUAUCUGAAAGCUAUGUUCUUUAUUUAGAUAUAUUUACUUGCUAAUUGAAACUCAAAUGGUAUUAUUGAAGCAUUGUUUGCAGAUUUCUAACUUCUGGCUUAAUGCAGAGAAAAUGUGGUCUUAUAUAAAACUUGGAAAACA